rnacentral:lncRNA from 1 species
UUAAUUAGUAGGGGGAAACGAUUUAAAAAAAAAAUAUCUUAACAUAUUUAGUUUUUACUUUUGUUGAUUGAAACCUUAUUUAUGUCAUAAAUACUUGAAGUUGCUAACUUUUAUCCUUUUCCCAAAAAAAAAAAAAAAUGUAACAAAUUGUUUUCACGUGAACAUCUAGUUUAUAACAUAAAUAUAAUCAUAAACUCUAAAUCUUAGUAUGCAACAUACAUUUUUAUUAAAUUAGAUUUACAUAUAAUUAAAAAAUAUUUUAUGGGGAAU